rnacentral:rRNA from 1 species
AACGAACGCUGGCGGCAUGCCUAACACAUGCAAGUCGAACGAGACCUUCGGGUCCAGUGGCGCACGGGUGCGUAACGCGUGGGAACCUGCCCUUAGGUUCGGAAUAACUCCCCGAAAGGGGUGCUAAUACCGGAUAAUGUCUUCGGACCAAAGAUUUAUCGCCUUUGGAUGGGCCCGCGUUGGAUUAGCUAGUUGGUAGGGUAAAAGCCUACCAAGGCGACGAUCCAUAGCUGGUCUGAGAGGAUGAUCAGCCACACUGGGACUGAGACACGGCCCAGACUCCUACGGGAGGCAGCAGUGGGGAAUAUUGGACAAUGGGCGAAAGCCUGAUCCAGCAAUGCCGCGUGAGUGAUGAAGGCCUUAGGGUUGUAAAGCUCUUUUACCCGGGAUGAUAAUGACAGUACCGGGAGAAUAAGCUCCGGCUAACUCCGU